rnacentral:lncRNA from 1 species
GGCAGAAAAAAACUGUGUCCCCCAAAGUACCUUCGCCAGUAGAUGAGGACGACUGAAUACAUGUAUCCUUCGAAAUACCUUCGAUGGGAAAGGAAGUCCGCGGUGAAGGAGGAACCAUUUUUUCGAGGCUAGAAACCUCAGAUGUCGUAGGCUCAACUGAUACAUCUUCUUUAAGCCUCCGAGCAGAACUUUCCUCGCAAUGAGAACCUUCGUCCUUCGAGGAAUCCUUCAGUUUGUUAUCAGUCCUCAGCCCUGAAGCUAAAGAUCCUUC